rnacentral:lncRNA from 1 species
AGGUUGAUCGGUCCACUACUAAGGAUCUAUGGUAGGUCAAAAAGCGAAGAAAAGAUUGCCCACCACUUGUCCUUGUACGUGCUAUCAGAUAUAGUCUUUCUAUGAAAGCUCGUAGGACCAGCUAACAAACAAAAAGGGAUUCAGACUUGCCUGGUUCUUGUCUAUCAAAGAGGGAUCUAUGAUUGCGCUUGAUCGUAGACUUGUAGCAUGGGUGAAAAUUCUUCAUCUUAGGUAGUGAAGAUGGACAGCUCAUCGUCUUCGAAAUAGGAAGGGAUGAUUCUUGCCAAACUCUGUCAUGCCCAUC